UACAUGCAAGUCGAGCGAGAAGCUUGGAAAUGACGCUUCGGUUGAUUUUCCAAGCGGACAGCGGCGGACGGGUGAGUAACGCGUAGGCAACCUGCCCCUGACAGAGGGAUAGCCAUUGGAAACGAUGAUUAAAACCUCAUGACACCGUAGUAGCACAUGCUACAUCGGUCAAAGAUUUAUCGGUCAGGGAUGGGCCUGCGUCUGAUUAACUGGUUGGUGAGGUAACGGCUCACCAAGGUGACGAUCAGUAGCCGACCUGAGAGGGUGAUCGGCCACAUUGGAACUGAGACACGGUCCAAACUUCUACGGAAGGCAGCAGUAGGGAAUCUUGCACAAAUGGGCGAAAAGCCUGAUGCAGCAAACGCCGCGU
rnacentral:rRNA from 1 species